GACCGCGUAGCUCAGUUGGAAGAGCACCAGACAUGAUUCCUGAGGGUCCUAGGUUAAAUCCCUGUCAUGGCCA